AAUUAUGGCGGGUGUGUGCGGGGCACUUUCGGGUGCGCCGGGUUCCUGGAUUCCCGGUCUUCCACACCUGCGCGCACGUCGACCCG
rfam:Pseudomonas sp. G5(2012) strain G5 PG5_10, whole genome shotgun sequence.